rnacentral:rRNA from 1 species
GGUAACCGCGGUAACGGAAAACCGUCGACCGUAUACGGUGGGGGAAUAACCUACUUAAGAAAGUAGGUGACUAAUACCGCAUAAGCGCACAGCUUCGCAUGAAGCGGUGUGAAAAACUCUGGUGGUAUACGAUGGUUCCGCGUCUGAUUAGCUAGUUGGUGGGGUAAUGGCCUACCAAGGCAACGAUCAGUAGCCGGCCUGAGAGGGUGACCGGCCACAUUGGGACUGAGACACGGCCCAAACUCCUACGGGAGGCAGCAG